AUGCCGAUGGUGAAACGGUUAUCAUGCUUGCCUUCCAUACAGAAGUGUGGAUUUCGAGCAAGCGGUAGGGGUUCGACUCCCCUUCGGUGUA